ensembl:lncRNA
CCGUUGUUAAAGGAGAAUCUGUAAAUGAUGCCACUGGAACAACUGAGGCUGGGCGGGAGCCGAGGGGAGAGAGGAGAGGAAACGGAGAGAGGGAAAUAAAUGAAGAGGAACUUGAAGGGAAGAAGGGCACCGAAACCGAACAGCACCGCCAGGGUUUGGAUAGCGGGGGGAUUGAGAGACUGUGAGGACCGUACCCGGAUACCCAUGUUCUGCUGCGUCUCCUGGGCCCGUGCUCGCUGCUGCCGAUCUCCUCCCUGUCCAUUUAAUUGGAAUACAAAGCAGAGAAUGGUCGAUGGCAGAGAGUGGCGCAGGAGGAGGAGGAGGAGGAGAGGGGUGCGGACGCUGUCUGUCUCAGGCGACUCUCAGCCUUCGCUGCUCGCUGGGAAUCGACUGGGAAGCCGGCAAGCGAGACCGACACACUGUCCCUGAGGCGUUGGUUUGAUCCCCAGUGUAUGGCCCCUUUAUGCAGAAUACCAGGACACACAGGCAUCCAGCUCCAUUGUGCUGCUGGGCUCCACCGCCACUCAGCCGGUCAGGUUUGUCUUGUGCCAUGUAGCCCUGGCGCGCUGACAGGCACACGGAGCGGGAGAACUAUUUAGAUCCUGGAGGCAAUCCCAGUCAGCAUUAAGACGUUAACCCUGGC